rnacentral:rRNA from 1 species
GACGAACGCUGGCGGCGUGCCUAAUACAUGCAAGUCGAGCGGACGGAUGGGAGCUUGCUCCCAGACCGUCAGCGGCGGACGGGUGAGUAACACGUGGGCAACCUGCCUGUAAGACUGGGAUAACUCCGGGAAACCGGGGCUAAUACCGGAUAACUCUUUCCCUCACCUGAGGGAAAGCUGAAAGAUGGCAUCUCGCUAUCACUUACAGAUGGGCCCGCGGCGCAUUAGCUAGUUGGUGAGGUAACGGCUCACCAAGGCGACGAUGCGUAGCCGACCUGAGAGGGUGAUCGGCCACACUGGGACUGAGACACAGCCCAGACUCCUACGGGAGGCAGCAGUAGGGAAUCUUCCGCAAUGGACGAAAGUCUGACGGAGCAACGCCGCGUGAGUGAUGAAGGUUUUCGGAUCGUAAAACUCUGUUGUCAGGGAAGAACAAGUACCGGAGUAACUGCCGGUACCUUGACGGUACCUGACCAGAAAGCCACGGCUAACUACGUG